rnacentral:rRNA from 1 species
UACGGGGGGAGCAAGCGUUGUUCGGAUUUACUGGGCGUAAAGGGCGCGUAGGCGGCCACCGCAAGUCGACUGUGAAAUCUCCGGGCUUAACCCGGAAAGGUCAGCCGAUACUGCGGGGCUAGAGUGCAGAAGGGGCAACUGGAAUUCUCGGUGUAGCGGUGAAAUGCGUAGAUAUCGAGAGGAACACCGGUGGCGAAGGCGGGUCUCUGGGCCGAUACUGACGCUGAGGAGCGAAAGCGUGGGGAGCGAACAGG